GUACUGCUGAACAGUCCCAAAAUAGGCUGACGAAACAGCUGUCCAGUAC
rfam:Trichobilharzia regenti genome assembly, scaffold: TRE_scaffold0001437